ensembl:lncRNA
CUCUCAUAGCACUAACUUCCACCCCUGACAGGAAGCACUCUGCCCAAACAACCUGUUGCUGGGGGUGGGGGAGGGUGGGGUUCAAAUUAGAGUAAGCAGUGGUUUGGUCUUUCAGUCUCAAGAAUAUCAGCUUUGUAGUGAGGACAUAGUUGUAAAUCAGCAAGUGAAUUGUUUUAGCGUUCUCAGAUAGGAUGGUGGGCACAUGGGGAUGGACUGGAAAGGUAAUAUUAGGUGUCAGUGGUCUUGUCUGCCCCCUUUCUCUUUCUGUUGGGAGAUUGCUUCUUUAUCCUAGAUGGCUCUGGUGGGUUGUUAAUCACUGAACCUCAUCCUUGGCUAUCUCAGUCUAUUCAGGCUACUGUAAUAAAAGGGCACAGAACUGGGUGACUUAUAAACAGCAGAAUUUUUUUUCUCACAGUUCUGAAGCGGGGGAGUCUGAGAUCAGGAUGCCAGCACAGUGAGAGUGUGGGCUGCUGGCUGCUGACUUACUUCUUGUGUCCUCACACAGUGGAGAACAGAAAGAGGAAGCUCUCUCCUGACUCUUUUAGAGCACUAAUCCCAAUUGGAGGGCUCCACCCCCAUGACCUCAUCUAAUCCUAAUUACCUCCCCAAGGCCCACCUGCUAACAGUGUCAGAUUGGGGUAGGGUUUCAACACAUGUAUUUUCAAAGGACAUGGAUAUUCAGCCUAUAACAUAGGACCUGAGAGAGGAACAUAUGAAAGAGAAAUCUCGUCAAUUACCCACACGAGGAUGCCGAUCCCCCUCCUCCCCGCUGCAAGCAAACCAUUUGUUUAGGAGAAUUACAAAGUAAUUGUAGUUCCAAGACCAUCACUUCCACUCAUCACUAUGGGUGAGUGUGAAUCAUCAGACAUAUUUGGGAGCCUGACACCAGAAACUAAAAACUUGGACUUAAUUAUUUUCUGAUUGAAAUCAGCUUUCUGAAGAAUGAGUAGAAGAAAAUGACUUUUCUCCUCUGAGGCAACUUAAUACAACAUGGAGGCAAGGGUGGUGGGAACCAGUAUAAAUUUGGCACAAAUUCAGUUCCCAAUCCUUUAUGAGGUGCUAUCAUGUGCAGACCACAGUGAUGUGCUGGGGAUACAAAGUGAAUAAAGUAGACAGGCAGGGAACCCAUAUGCAUUCAUUAUACGGUCUUCAUAAAGUGCUUUCAGAAUUCAGAGCGGGGGCACCUGGCUUAACCUGGGUUGUCUGAGCAAGUGAGUGAACCUGAGGGAUGAUGUUAGGCAAGGGGAGGUGAGAUACUAUGUCCAAGUCUUUAAGAAGAAUUAAGAGUUAAGACGCAGACAGAAGGAGAGUGAUUCUAAACAGAGAGAAAAGCAUCUCAAAGUGAGCAAAAUCAGAGCAGCUCCAAGGGACUGGGCUAGAAAAUGCAAAGUUGGAGAGGAUGUAGGAAGGUGAUGUCAUCAGAGGCACCAAACUUUCUGAAGAAACAAAUAUGGCAGCGAUGUGUGAGGUCUCAGUCUGCUCGGAGAUGCGUACAACAAUUCUUCUGACAAUAAACGUACUCAUAAGGG